rnacentral:rRNA from 1 species
UACGUAGGGUGCAAGCGUUGUCCGGAAUUAUUGGGCGUAAAGAGCUCGUAGGCGGUUUGUCGCGUCGGAUGUGAAAACCCGGGGCUUAACUCCGGGCCUGCAUUCGAUACGGGCUGACUAGAGUUCGGCAGGGGAGACUGGAAUUCCUGGUGUAGCGGUGAAAUGCGCAGAUAUCAGGAGGAACACCGGUGGCGAAGGCGGGUCUCUGGGCCGAUACUGACGCUGAGGAGCGAAAGCGUGGGGAGCGAACAGGAUUAGAAACCCCAGUAGUCC